rnacentral:lncRNA from 1 species
UGUAGAGCCACCAUCACGCAACACAAGCCUGGGAGAGAGACAGGCACCCAACCCCAACCACUGAGAGCUGCUUUGUGGGGCACGCCCAGCAAAGCCAUGAAGAAUGGGGCUGCCUGGGUCUUUGGCCCACCCUUGCUGCACGGUGUCCAAAAGGCAGGACGUAGAGUCAAAGAAGAUCAUUCUCAAGCCUCGAGAUUUAAUGCUGAAAAGACAGAUCACACAUUUAAAAAUGAAAGGUUCACUUGCAGGAGCUCUAGCCCCUGCAGCAGCCCAAUCGGUUGAAUGGUCCACGAAGACAUCGCCUAGCAUCAGCAUCCAGCCAGCAUCACCAUGAUCAGGAUGAUUCUCAGCAACGUCUUCCUCUCCGGCUGCCCUGGGAGUGGCUAAAGUUGAAGCAGCAGGAAACAGAGGAAUCUUGAAGAACGUCAUCUCUGUGGUCCUGUUAAAUGUGUCGCUGACACACGACUGUUUUUGUGAUGCUUCCUUUUCAAAGAAUUUACUCCGAACAACAUGCAGGUUCACUGUAUCUGCAUUUACAGAGACACUGACAGACUUAGACAAUUCAACAAACUGACAGGAUCAACCCUCCAUUAAAAGUAAAGCAUUUCUUCCAUUUUUCCAGUGAGAAGACAUCCUCUCCUCAAAAAAAAAGUUUUCGGGCAACUUUAAUAAAUACAAUUUUAAGUGUACAGAUGAUUGAAUUAGGCAAAAGUCCACUUAUGGUAUCUAAUAUACAAUUUAAUUACACAUACAUUUUAAAAUCACGUUUCAUAAAAUAUUAAUUGAAAAAUAGAGAGUGGUUCAGGGCACAGAUUCUGGAUCCAGACGGCCUGAAUUCAAAUCUCAGCUCCUCCAUUUACUGUAACUCACUUUUGAGAGAGUUGACAUUCUGGGCCUCAGUUUCCUCCUCUUUAAAAUAAGGGUGAUAAUAACAUCCAGCUCACAGUGUUGUUGAAGUAUUAAACGAUGUAAAAACAUGUAAAGCCCUUAGAACACUGUCCAGGAAGUGGUAUACACAUGUUAGGUUAAAAGACAUAGUGGUUUAUUAUCCAUUCACAUAGACUUUAGAACCUCUUUAUUCUUUCUUUCUUUCUUCCUUUCUUUUUUGAGAUGAAGUUUUGCUUUCGUUGCUCAGGCUGGAGGGCAAUGGCGCAGUCUCAGCUCACUGCAACCUCUGCCUCCCAGACAACCCCUUUAUUCUAACUCGUCAAAUGCAGCAGUGUUUGUCAUCAGAAGAAGCACUUUUUUAGUUGAACGAUGCCAGUCUCCAUCACUUUCACUUCCCAUUACACCAUUUGGAAUAUAAUACUUUUUGAAUCUAGGUAUGAUGUCACAGAAAACUGAGUGUCAAGGCAAGCAUCUAUGUGGAUAUUAGCACAGACAGGUUUUCCCAUUUAUCUGGCAGCUGUAUAUUCUGAUCACCAAAAGGACAUCAUGUUGCUUUUCAAAGCCAUUGUUAGGACAUUGUUAGGAAACUUGUUCAUAACCAUCACCAACACUCGUCAUUACUUGCUCAUAUCCUCCGGAAUAAUUACUAAACCUGCGUUCAAUUUCCUUGCCUUUUCUAUCAAUUCUGUGAUCCCUGUAAACAUCCCAAACUAGCACUGAUUGGGGUCACUGCAGGCUAAUGUAGUUUCUACAAUUAAUUUU